AGGGAUGUAGUUCAGUGGUAGAAUGCUUGCCUGGCAUGCAUGAGGCCCUGGGUUCAAUUCCCCGCACUGCAA
rnacentral:tRNA from 1 species